UGGGAACGUACCCUUUGGUUCGGAACAACCCAGGGAAACUUGGGCUAAUACCGGAUAAGUCCGUAAGGAGAAAGAUUUAUCGCCAAAGGAUCGGCCCGCAUCUGAUUAGCUAGUUGGUAGGGUAAUGGCCUACCAAGGCUACGAUCAGUAGCUGGUCUGAGAGGAUGAUCAGCCACAUUGGGACUGAGACACGGCCCAAACUCCUACGGGAGGCAG
rnacentral:rRNA from 1 species